GUAGCUUCACGCUGUUUCGUCAGGCAGAAAAAGUGCAAUCAACGGAAAAGCUGGUACACGGAGCGGAAAUCGACACUUAUCCUCCGAAGGCCGUAAACCGGAUAUUGGCAUAUCAAAAACGCUUGUGCAACAUUGAUCUGAGCAGGUUAUGCCGUAGUCAGAAGCCACACUGCCAAUCCGUAGCUUCUAAUUAAUAAACCGGACAGUUAACUGGGAAUCGGUGAUUAUCGCACGUGGCGAGUUGUUUUUCCGCGCAGACUAAGCCACGAAAGUGCAAAUUAUUGGCAAUUCGCUAUUGCCUGCUCAAAGACCAGGCAGAAGGCAGCAAAGCACAGAGCGGUACACCAAGAGGGCACGUAGCGGUUUGGACCUGUUAAUAAGGAAAAAUACGAUCACCCGUCUCGUGAAGACAGCUACGGAAAGAGUAAGUGCAGUGCUGAAACAUUAUGCAAGAAAAGGCUAACUUGGAUGGCUUUUAGGGCCGUUUUCUCCGGUUUGCGUUUUCGGAAGAACGAUUCAGUGAGGCGUUCGGCGGUCAUCACUUCCAUCGACCAAGGAGGUUAAGCAAGGGACCGUCCAUACGGUCAGAUACGGCACGGUUAGAGCUUCUGCGGACAUGCGUCCAUCCGACACGACUACAGUGGUCGUGACCAACACGGAGGUGUGCAGCAUUAUGUUGGUGAUGAAAGAUGCGAGUAGGAUGAAAUCUUGGACAGUGUGCCAGAAGCAAGAUUUUAGCACGUAAGAGAGAGAAAGAGAGAGCAAAGAGUAAGAAAAGCGUAGGAGAUGCUAGGAGUAGUUAACCCGUAAAGGUGAUGUCAUGAGGUGCAGAAUAUAUGUAUACGAUUUAAACA